GGGCUAUAGGAGCUUUAAAUUAAGAGACCUUUUGCCUUUUGAAUUUUAAAACGCUCAUUUCUUUGAAAAAAAUCAGAAAAAAUUAAACCCAAUGAAUUGAUUCGACGGAAAUUCGACAUCUAACACAGGCCUGGAUGACUGAUUCGAUCACCUCUGAUUACGCAACUGCCAAUAGAUUUCCUCCAUUGACCUGCAACUGUCAAUUUCACCUGACUGGUUACUGCGUAUUUUGAUAUAGAGUACAAAAUUAUUUCAGACGAUUGAAACGUAUAGUUGCCAAUUUCGUGAACAAUCAACUAGAACAAAAAUAACAAUUUUAUCAACAAGCAAAUACUUAAUAUUUAUUGUAGGUUAUCA